rnacentral:rRNA from 1 species
GUGGGGAAUCUUGCGCAAUGGGCGAAAGCCUGACGCAGCCAUGCCGCGUGGAUGAUGAAGGUCUUAGGAUUGUAAAAUCCUUUCACCGGUGAAGAUAAUGACUGUAGCCGGAGAAGAAGCCCCGGCUAACUUCGUGCCAGCAGCCGCGGUAAUACGAAGGGGGCUAGCGUUGCUUGGAAUUACUGGGCGUAAAGGGAGCGUAGGCGGACAUUUAAGUCAGGGGUGAAAUCCCGAGGCUCAACCUCGGAACUGCCUUUGAUACUGGGUGUCUUGAGUGUGAGAGAGGUGAGUGGAACUCCGAGUGUAGAGGUGAAAUUCGUAGAUAUUCGGAAGAACACCAGUGGCGAAGGCGACUCACUGGCUCAUUACUGACGCUGAGGCUCGAAAGCGUGGGGAGCAAACAGGAUUAGAAACCCUUGUAGUCC